rnacentral:rRNA from 1 species
GAACACAAAGCCCAUUUAUACGGCACACAGAACUCAUACAGUCAGUUCCCAGCCACCCCCCCACACUCUCACCACGGCACACCCCACCGAACCACCUGCAUCUCACGAAUCACCAUCCAACACCCCCAUGCACCACCAACCAAAAGCAGCCUCCCCAAUAAGCUACCACCUGACCCGAAGUUUCAGUCUCAUUAGAUGGUUGGCGCGGGAACGGCCACCACGGCCACAUUCACAAUACGGUCUGAGACGAUGCACGGCCACCCAGGACAUGAGACACGGACCAGCAUCAUAAGGGAGGCAGCAAAGGGCAAUCCUACCAAAUGGGCCAAACCCCGACGGAGCAACGCCGCCCAAGUGAUGACGCCCUUCGGGUUGAAAAACUCUGUGAUCCGGGACGAAAAGGCAGAGUGCGAAGAACAAACUGCAUUGACGGCACCGGAAAAGCAAGCCACGGCCAACUACGUGCCAGCAGCCGCGGUAAUACGUAGGUGGCAAGCGUUGUCCGGAAUUAUUGGGCGUAAAGCGCGCGCAGGCGGCUUCCCAAGUCCCUCUUAAAAGUGCGGGGCUUAACCCCGUGAUGGGAAGGAAACUGGGAAGCUGGAGUAUCGGAGAGGAAAGUGGAAUUCCUAGUGUAGCGGUGAAAUGCGUAGAGAUUAGGAAGAACACCGGUGGCGAAGGCGACUUUCUGGACGAAAACUGACGCUGAGGCGCGAAAGCGUGGGGAGCAAACAGG